GACGAACGCUGGCGGCGUGCCUAAUACAUGCAAGUAGAACGCACAGUUUAUACCGUAGCUUGCUACACCAUAGACUGUGAGUUGCGAACGGGUGAGUAACGCGUAGGUAACCUGCCUGGUAGCGGGGGAUAACUAUUGGAAACGAUAGCUAAUACCGCAUAAUAUUAAUUAUUGCAUGAUAAUUAAUUGAAAGGUGCAAUUGCACCACUACCAGAUGGACCUGCGUUGUAUUAGCCAGUAGGUGAGGUAACGGCUCACCUAGGCGACGAUACAUAGCCGACCUGAGAGGGUGAUCGGCCACACUGGGACUGAGACACGGCCCAGACUCCUACGGGAGGCAGCAGUAGGGAAUCUUCGGCAAUGGACGAAAGUCUGACCGAGCAACGACGCGUGAGUGAAGAAGGUUUUCGGAUCGUAAAGCUCUGUUGUAAGAGAAGAACGGGUGUGAGAGUGGAAAGUUCACACUGUGACGGUAUCUUACCAGAAAGGGACGGCUAACUACGUG
rnacentral:rRNA from 1 species